UGGGGAAUAUUGCACAAUGGGGGAAACCCUGAUGCAGCGACGCCGCGUGGAGGAAGAAGGUCUUCGGAUUGUAAACUCCUGUUGUUGGGGAAGAUAAUGACGGUACCCAACAAGGAAGUGACGGCUAACUACGUGCCAGCAGCCGCGGUAAAACGUAGGUCACAAGCGUUGUCCGGAAUUACUGGGUGUAAAGGGAGCGCAGGCGGGAAGACAAGUUGGAAGUGAAAUCUAUGGGCUCAACCCAUAAACUGCUUUCAAAACUGUUUUUCUUGAGUAGUGCAGAGGUAGGCGGAAUUCCCGGUGUAGCGGUGGAAUGCGUAGAUAUCGGGAGGAACACCAGUGGCGAAGGCGGCCUACUGGGCACCAACUGACGCUGAGGCUCGAAAGUGUGGGUAGCAAACAGGAUUAGAUACCCUGGUAGUCCACACCGUAAACGAUGAUUACUAGGUGUUGGAGGAUUGACCCCUUCAGUGCCGCAGUUAACACAAUAAGUAAUCCACCUGGGGAGUACGACCGCAAGGUUGAAACUCAAAGGAAUUGACGGGGGCCCGCACAAGCAGUGGAGUAUGUGGUUUAAUUCGACGCAACGCGAAGAACCUUACCAAGUCUUGACAUCCCUUGACAGGCAUAGAAAUAUGUUUUCUCUUCGGAGCAAGGAGACAGGUGGUGCAUGGUUGUCGUCAGCUCGUGUCGUGAGAUGUUGGGUUAAGUCCCGCAACGAGCGCAACCCUUAUGGUCAGUUACUACGCAAGAGGACUCUGGCCAGACUGCCGUUGACAAAACGGAGGAAAGUGGGGAUGACGUCAAAUCAUCAUGCCCUUUAUGACUUGGGCUACACACGUACUACAAUGGCGUUAAACAAAGAGAAGCAAGACCGCGAGGUGGAGCAAAACUCAGAAACAACGUCCCAGUUCGGACUGCAGGCUGCAACUCGCCUGCACGAAGUCGGAAUUGCUAGUAAUCGUGGAUCAGCAUGCCACGGUGAAUACGUUCCC
rnacentral:rRNA from 1 species